rnacentral:rRNA from 1 species
GCGGGAAUUUUGGGCAAUGGGGGAAACCCUGACCCAGCAACGCCGCGUGAAGGAUGAAGUAUUUCGGUAUGUAAACUUCGAAAGAAUAGGAAGAAUAAAUGACGGUACUAUUUAUAAGGUCCGGCUAACUACGUGCCAGCAGCCGCGGUAAUACGUAGGGACCAAGCGUUGUUCGGAUUUACUGGGCGUAAAGGGCGCGUAGGCGGCAUGACAAGUCACUUGUGAAAUCUCUGGGCUUAACCCAGAACGGCCAAGUGAUACUGUCGCGCUAGAGUGCAGAAGGGGCAAUCGGAAUUCUUGGUGUAGCGGUGAAAUGCGUAGAUAUCAAGAGGAACACCUGAGGUGAAGACGGGUUGCUGGGCUGACACUGACGCUGAGGCGCGAAAGCCAGGGGAGCAAACGGGAUUAGAUACCCUAGUAGUCCCUGAGCGGGCUGGCAAGGCGCAU